UACGUAGGGUGCGAGCGUUAAUCGGAAUUACUGGGCGUAAAGCGUGCGCAGGCGGUUCGUUGUGUCCGUCGUGAAAGCCCCGGGCUUAACCUGGGAACUGCGAUGGAAACUAGCGAGCUGGAGUGUGGCAGAGGAGACUGGAAUUUACGGUGUAGCGGUGAAAUGCGUAGAUAUCGUAAGGAAGACCAGUGGCGAAGGCGGGUCUCUGGACAGUUCCUGACACUGAGGCACGAAGGCCAGGGGAGCAAACGGG
rnacentral:rRNA from 1 species